AACAGACUAACAACAAGGUUUGUUACAUUGAGUGCUGCAAAACAGCUGGGAGUAAAUUCAUUUAUAAAAAAAAAAACAUGAUAAAGAGAUGAAAUACUUCAAGUCAUAACAAGAGUUGCAUGGAAUUUUAAAGUCUUUGCUGUAAUUUGUGGCUUACUCCUGGCAAGGUUUCUCAUAGUUCUAGCAGAGACCUGGUAUUGUGCAUACUAAAUGAUGAUAAGUUUUACAAACUUGAUUCCUGAUCAUGAACUCUCUCACUGACACAAAUUUAGAAUAAGCAUUUAUCUUUUCUUGAAUGAUUAAAACAGAAUACCUAAUUAUUGUAGGAAUCGCGCUUGUUCCUAUGAAGGAUUCUGAUUCCAAGCCAGCUUGGAAAUGAAUGUUGAUGCAGUUUUCAAGUGGUUGCCCUCAUAUGGGUAUCAGGGAAGACUUGAGUAGUACGUACCACCGUGAGGAGUGAAUGUUAGAACUGCAUCUAAAGAGUGUGUGUUGACAAGGUUGGUGGUCCUGUGGAGACUGUAAAUGGUAUUUUCCCCCCUAAUUAAUCAGGGUAUCAGGGAAGUCUUGAGUAGUACCACCAUGAGGAGUGAAUGUUAGAACUGCAUCUAAAGAGUGUGUUGACAAGGUUGGUGGUCCUGUGGAGACUGUAACUGGUAUUUUCCCCCCUAAUUAAUCAGCAGGAAUGAGAGAAAGUGUCAAGAGAAUCAGAAAUGUCAAGCUCACUGCAAAUUGGAGACCUCACAUGAAAAUAGUUACAAUAUGAAUACAAGGGUCUAACAGGAACAAAUGCACUGGUUCCUCUUGAAGUAACUACACGAAGUGAUGUCGACAUAAGAGGCUUGGCAUAUAUAGACACUUAUCCCAAAUUAUUUUUGUUGUGCUUGUCAGAGAUUUUCACUAUGGUAUAACUGUAUGUUUUACCAUAAAAUGUUGUGUUUUGACUUUAAACCUCCGGACAUGAUGGCAUAUGAUUACAUUUGUGUUAGGCUUAUGUUAAAACAUUGAAAAUGUUUAAUUGAUAUUCUAAUAUGUAUGCUAAUUAUUUAUCAUGUGUAUUGUAAUAGUAAUAAGUAUACUUUUAUACUGAUCUACUGCAUGCUAGUCAUGUCAGUGUUAUUAGUUUUAAGUCAUUUUUUUUAACAUGGUAAAGUGUACUAAAUGCAUUGCUUGAAUUUUCUCAAUAAACUCUACAAAUGCAACAGUCUUAAUUUUUUGUCCAUAAUUUGAAAAUUAGUACUGGCUCUGCAGUAUCAAAGGGUUAGUUGUUCAUUGAACCAAAUAUUAAAGUUUCUGUCAAGGAGACUGCCAUUGAGAAAUGAGAGCGUGAUCGGUUGGUUACGAUAGUAGAUCUGUGAGUAAAUGUAAGCAGGAAAAGAUCCUGUGAGGAAAUAAGUUUUCCAUCCUAAGAUCAAGACAAGCAAUGCCUAAGAGAAGAGGUACUGUGUUGGUAAUUAUCAGUCCGUGUCAGCAAUUCAAAUUAUUAUUUUUUUUUUUUUUCAGUGGGAAGGCUGCAGGGCCAACCCCUUAUUUGUUCAGAAAAAAAUGGUUUUCCAAUUUUCUGUUGGAUAGUAAUGCUGUUUAGAGCACUCAAGUGACACACUAAAGGCAGUACUAAAAUGUUGGGUUCUUUUAUUCCCAAUUUUCAAUCUUGUGUAACUUCCAUUCCCACUUUUUUCCAUUCUGUCCAACCUAUAUAAAUCUUUAAAGCCCUUUGGGGUUUCCCCUGUGGAUCCAUACACUGAACUUCCAGCUGUAUGUCUUACCUGUGUGCGUAAAGGUUCUUGGAUGUUUGAGUAGCUUGCUACUUAUAUUGCCUAUACCUCGUUCGUGUGAUUUUGGAUUAUUUUGCAAUUGGAUAGUAUGACCUUCAUUUCUGCCGUGGUAGCUUCCUGCUGUAUGUCUUACCUGUGUACUUGGUGGGAGAAGUACAGUAAGUGGAGGAGGAAGGUAAAGGAGAUUAUUCUAGUCUCCUUGAUGGCUGCACUCUGUGACAUCAUUAAAUCCUUCCCGGUCCUUUUUGCCACUGCCUGUCAUUUCUCUUCCACCUACACCUUCCUCUUUCUAUCCUAAGAGGGUAAAGUUAGUAUCAUGAAACCUGCUCAUCCCUUGUUUAAGAACUAGAAGGAAAUAAGGACAUGUCUUCCUUUGAAUACAUCCAUGAAGUAUGCCCUACUCUUUAACAUUACUUCGGAAUUUGCUGGGAGGAAUGAUCAACCAACUACCACUAUGUCUGCUGUUGCAUUUGCAGUUAAUUGUGACCACUCAUCUGCCACAGGUAAUCCUUUAGUGUCUGUGGUGGUGAUGCUCGUAACUUGGCCAGUAGGUGCCCUUCAGUGUUGACCAUAGAAAAGGAACAAGCAUUCUUGCUGUCCUUCCUCCUUGUUAUCGUCAUCCUUAUUUUGUAGUUAGUCUUUCUCCUGCUCCUCAUUGUCCCUGAAUUCUCUUCCCACAGGAGGAAGAAAAAUGAGUGAAAUCCAAGGUAAAUCAGUUGAGUCCAGUUGGAGUUAACACACACACUUUACCUCAUGACGGGAGAGCAGAUGUGCCCGUUCACUGUUAAGAUAUAUUUGUACCUAUGGCAUAGCUGCCAACAAGGGAUGGGCACACACCUGAGAGGAGACUUUGUUUUAGAGGUGUGUGGAUGGAGGACAUAUCACCUCUGCACACUGUCUUGAAGAUUUAAGUGGCUUGAGUAUCACUUUACAAUUAGCAAAUUUUAGGUACUUUUAAACAAAAUUUACCCAUUUAUGGUAGGUUAAAUGUAGUGUGUGACAGACUCGCAACCCUGUUAAUCUUUUUCCCCUCUAGAAUACCUACCAUGUCAUAACACAAAUUUUCCUUUUAUGGGAUUUUGACAGUCCUCUUUGUAGCUCUAGUUUUCUCGGCUGUUUCCAAACUAAGUCCACUCCCCUGACGAGUGUUCAUUGAUUUUGAUACUCUGAUGAAGUUAAGUAAAUAGUGAAAGCACUGGAAAAUGCUUUGAAAGUAUUUACUGUCGCUGGUUUGUUUCAACCCAUAACCCUUCCAAGGUUAAUUCCUUGGUAUAAUUAUUUUAAAUACUUUAGUUCAAUUUAUAUUGUCUUCAUUAAAAUCAUCAUGAAGUUAACUUUGACAUUUGUCCUUGCCUGGUUCACUCAUGUUGCAUCUUUUCUGUCAGCUAAUGAUUUUUAGCAAUAGAAUUCCAACUAAUAUUAGAAGUUUACCCGGCACCAUAUAUAGCCAAGAUAAUCUUUUGGCACUCCAAACUCUACCCCAAACCUAGUCUUGUAAAUAAAUUUUGCUUUAUUUACAUGUAAAGCAACCUUUUCCUGUUUUAAGAAAGCAAGGGUCUUCUCUGAAGUAAGUUAUCCUUAAUGAAAGUUGUAGUAACUAAUGUAAACUGUUAUUUAUGUCUAAUAGCAGCAGCAGAGAAUAGGUAAGAUUAUUGAAGUGAUUCAUCCUGUUCCUGGUAUGUUGCAGGCACUGUUAUAAGAUCUUGGAGGUUCUGAAGAAAUUUGUGGGUUGUACAAGAUUACGUUGGCAAAGUCUAAUUUUUCUAGAUGUCAGAACUAUAGUUUCCACCACAGGAGGUACUUGUAGUAAGCUGAAUGUACAUAAUACAAACUGGAGCAAAUUGUAAAGAUUUUCAGUACAUUCUAGAUAAAUUAGGCUUUAUCAAUGAUAAAUUGUAGCCUGUCGAAGGUUGAAAGAUCUAAAAUCGUCUGUAAUUUUUACCCCAAUAUUACAUGGAAAACAAAGCACAAAGUUGAGAAAGUGUAUAUGCUGUUGUAAGGACAAUGCUUUUCCCAAUUUUUUAUUGUAUCUAAUCAUCAUGCAGCGUUGUUCCUUUAACCAUUCUAUAGAAUGUUCUGCGGCCUUUCCGCCGAUGUAUAACUUGUAAUUUGAUUAUAAGCAGUCCCCGGGUUACGAGGGGUUCCGUUCUUAAGAUGCGCCGUAACCCGAAAAUUGUCGUAAGCUGGACCGACGUUGUUGAAAACAUGCCCACAGGGAAAAUUUCACUAAUUUGCAAUUUUUCUUAGGGCCGUAUCUCUAAAAUUAUCACUAAUUUACUUUUUUCAUGUGCAACACUGUGUAUUCACAAAUUACUGUAUAUUUGCAUUAAAAUACAAGAGAGAGAGAGAGAGAUUACAUAAAACCAUUAAAUUCGUUGACCAUUGUAUGGCAUUGUUACUUUCCCAGCUCCGAGUGUCACUGGAGUUAUGAGGUAGGGAAAUUGAUACAGAAAAAGACGAAGGGAAGAAUUUUCUUUGAAAUUAGUUAUCGUAUUAUUACUACUUCUGUUAUUAUUAUUAUUAUUAUUAUUAUUAUUUGAAAAUAUAAUAAACACGUGCAUCUACCAUAAAAAUUCUCUCAUCUCAGUAAGAAAGAGGAAUUAUCCUUACAAGUGAAAUGGAAAGGUCAUUUUCAUCUCUUUAAAAUACGACCAUUAUUAAUUUUGUAAUUACAGUUAUAUUAUUAUUAUUAUUAUUAUUAUUUUUAUUAUUAUUAAGUAACUGAAGUUAUCAAUAAACAUUUUACAUACUAGUACCAUAAAAAUUCUUUCAUCUCGGUAAGAGAGAGAGAGAGAGUGUUUAUCUCUCUCUGUUCUCUCAAAAAAUACUUAUAACGCUUCCAGCGAAAGAGAGGGUGGGAGUUCCCACUAUGACACAUUAUUAUCUUGUGUGGCAAAAGAGAGAGAGAGUUAACCUUAAUUAAAAGGGACAUGGACAGAUUAGUAUUGUAUUUCUUUAAAAUACUAUCA